rnacentral:rRNA from 1 species
AUUACUCCUACGGGAGGCAGCAGUGGGGAAUAUUGGACAAUGGGCGAAAGCCUGAUCCAGCCAUGCCGCGUGUGUGAAGAAGGUCUUCGGAUUGUAAAGCACUUUAAGUUGGGAGGAAGGGCAGUAGUUAAUACCUUGCUGUUUUGACGUUACCGACAGAAUAAGCACCGGCUAACUUCGUGCCAGCAGCCGCGGUAA